ACACGUAGGGGGCAAGCGUUGUCCGGAAUUACUGGGCGUAAAGGGUGCGUAGGCGGCUUUUUAAGUCGGGUGUGAAAUAUCAUGGCUCAACCAUGGAAGUGCACUCGAAACUGGAAAGCUGGAGGUCAAGUAAGGGAGUCGGAAUUGCCAGUGUAGGGGUGAAAUCCGUAGAUAUUGGCAAGAACGCCAGUGGUGAAGACGGUCUCCUGUACUGAUACUGACGCUGAGGCACGAAAGCUAGGGGAGCGAACGGGAUUAGAUACCCCAGUAGUCC
rnacentral:rRNA from 1 species